GUCAGGAUGGUCGAGUGGUCUAAGGCGCCAGACUCAAGUUGUGGUCUUUGAGAGGGGCAUGGGUUCAAAUCCUACUUUUGACA
rnacentral:tRNA from 1 species